rnacentral:rRNA from 1 species
GAUGAACGCUGGCGGCGUGCUUAACACAUGCAAGUCGAACGGAAAGACCCUGCUUUUGUGGGGUGCUCGAGUGGCGAACGGGUGAGUAACACGUGAGUAACCUGCCCUUGACUUUGGGAUAACUUCAGGAAACUGGGGCUAAUACCGGAUAGGAGCUCCUGCUGCAUGGUGGGGGUUGGAAAGUUUCGGCGGUUGGGGAUGGACUCGCGGCUUAUCAGCUUGUUGGUGGGGUAGUGGCUUACCAAGGCUUUGACGGGUAGCCGGCCUGAGAGGGUGACCGGCCACAUUGGGACUGAGAUACGGCCCAGACUCCUACGGGAGGCAGCAGUGGGGAAUAUUGCACAAUGGGCGGAAGCCUGAUGCAGCAACGCCGCGUGCGGGAUGACGGCCUUCGGGUUGUAAACCGCUUUCGCCUGUGACGAAGCGUGAGUGACGGUAAUGGGUAAAGAAGCACCGGCUAACUACGUG